AGCAUGUGGUUUAAUUCGAAGCAACGCGAAGAACCUUACCAGGUCUUGACAUCCUCUGACAAUCUGAGAGAUCAGACUUUCCCUUCGGGGACAGAGAGACAGGUGGUGCAUGGUUGUCGUCAGCUCGUGUCGUGAGAUGUUGGGUUAAGUCCCGCAACGAGCGCAACCCCUGUGGUUAGUUGCCAUCAUUUGGUUGGGCACUCUAAGCAGACUGCCGUGGAUAACACGGAGGAAGGUGGGGACGACGUCAAAUCAUCAUGCCCCUUAUGACCUGGGCUACACACGUGCUACAAUGGUCUGAACAGAGGGCUGCGAAACCGCGAGGUGAAGCUAAUCCCUUAAAACAGAUCUCAGUUCGGAUUGCAGGCUGCAACUCGCCUGCAUGAAGUUGGAGUUGCUAGUAAUCGCAGAUCAGAAUGCUGCGGUGAAUGCGUUCCCGGGUCUU
rnacentral:rRNA from 1 species